AUGAAGAGAGGGUAUUCAUUCAAGAGGAAUCUGCAAGGAUAUCAGAAGAAAUUGAAUGUCUUCUUUUGCUCGGCAUUUCCUUCCUCACAAUUACAUCUUCUCCUGGACAGGAGCUUCUCACAAGAAACCCAGGCAGUCUUCUCUCCAUUUCUUGCAUUGAUCUCGUUCUCCAGCACGUACCUGGUUCAGGGCUUGCAAGGAACAUGGUGGAAUUGCUUCAGACAGCUACCACCAUCCACGCUCCUGCAACUGACUCUGUACAGCCAGGCCUCUGACUGCACAGCCUCUGGCAAAGGACACAAGGGACCACUCUGCUUUUGGGGGCCCAGCUGCAGAAGGCAGGAGGCAAUGGUGCACACUCAAGGCCAAGCAGCCUGGUUAUAUUCAGAGAGACCGUAA
rnacentral:lncRNA from 1 species